GUCGACGGCAGGACUCCCGGG
rnacentral:miRNA from 1 species